GAAGCGUGCCAGACCGCCGCUGGUGCAAUUCCCGAAAGGGAGCACUGGAGGAACGUCCGGACUGCACAGGACAGCGCAGGAGUUAACGACUCUCCACCGUGAGGUGAGGAUCAGAGCAACAGAGACGAGCCGAUUCAGUUCGGGUGAAACGGGCAAUCUCUGCGCGCAGCAACACCAAAUAGGCCAGCGUUGAUGUGGUUCCGCGGAGCUGGCGGGUAGGUGGCAUCGAGCCGUCCGGGCGACCGGCGGCCCAGAGUAAUGGCGGUCACGCCGGCAUCGUCGCAAGACGGCGCCGGUGCACAGAAUCCGGCUUAUCGGCGCGCUUCACAC
rnacentral:RNase_P_RNA from 2 species